UCCGGUUGAUCCUGCCGGACCCGACUGCUAUCGGAUAGAGAUUAAGCCAUGCGAGUCGAACAUUUCUUAACUAUGUAAGAAGUGUGGCAUACGGCUCAGUAACACGUGGUCAACCUACCCUAAAGACAUGAAUAACCCCGGGAAACUGGGAUUAAUAUAUGAUAGGUCAUUUUUCCUGGAAUCGGUUUAUGACUUAAAAGAUUAUUGAGCAUGUUUGAUUAAUUGCUUUAGGAUGGGACUGCGACCGAUCAGGUUGUUGGUGGGGUAAUGGCCUACCAAGCCGAUUACCGGUGCGGGCUUUGAGAGAAGGAGCCCGGAGAUGGACACUGAGAAAAGGGUCCAGGCCCUACGGGGCGCAGCAGGCGCGAAAACUUUGCAAUGUGCGAAAGCACGACAAGGUUAAUCCGAGUGCAAUAUGCUGAAUAUAGCUUUUGGUAAAUGUAAAUAGUUUAUUGAAUAAGGGGAGGGAAAGUCUGGUGUCAGCCGCCGCGGUAAUACCAGCUCCCCGAGUGGUCGGGACGAUUAUUGGGCCUAAAGCAUCCGUAGCCGGUUCUGUAGGUCUUAUGUUAAAAUCAAUUGCUUAACAAUUGAACUGCAUGAGAUACCACAAAACUAGGAGGCGGGAGAGGUGGACGGUAUUCCACGGGUAGGGGUAAAAUCCUCUGAACCGUGGAGGACCACCAGUGGCGAAGGCGGUCCACCAGAACGCGCUCGACGGUGAGGGAUGAAAGCUGGGGUAGCGAACCGGAUUAGAUACCCGGGUAGUCCCAGCUGUAAACGAUGCAAGCUAGGUGAUGCAUUAGCCACGUGUUAAUGCAGUGCCGCAGGGAAGCCGUUAAGCUUGCCGCCUGGGGAGUACGGUCGCAAGGCUGAAACUUAAAGGAAUUGGCGGGGGAGCACCACAAGGGGUGAAGCCUGCGGUUCAAUUGGAUUCAACGCCGGG
rnacentral:rRNA from 1 species